CUUCGGGAACUGUGAGACAGGUGCUGCAUGGCUGUCGUCAGCUCGUGUUGUGAAAUGUUGGGUUAAGUCCCGCAACGAGCGCAACCCUUAUCCUUUGUUGCCAGCGGUCCGGCCGGGAACUCAAAGGAGACUGCCAGUGAUAAACUGGAGGAAGGUGGGGAUGACGUCAAGUCAUCAUGGCCCUUACGACCAGGGCUACACACGUGCUACAAUGGCGCAUACAAAGAGAAGCGACCUCGCGAGAGCAAGCGGACCUCAUAAAGUGCGUCGUAGUCCGGAUUGGAGUCUGCAACUCGACUCCAUGAAGUCGGAAUCGCUAGUAAUCGUGGAUCAGAAUGCCACGGUGAAUACGUUCCCGGGCCUUGUACACACCGCCCGUCACACCAUGGGAGUGGGUUGCAAAAGAAGUAGGUAGCUUAACCUUCGGGAGGGCGCUUACCACUUUGUGAUUCAUGACUGGGGUGAAGUCGUAACAAGGUAACCGUAGGGGAACCUGCGGUUGGAUCACCUCCUUACCUUAAAGAAGC
rnacentral:rRNA from 1 species